rnacentral:rRNA from 1 species
AGUGAACGCUGGCGGCGUGCCUAAUACAUGCAAGUCGAACGGAGUGGCGCACGGGUGAGUAAUGUAUAGCUAAUCUGCCCUACACUAGAGGACAACAGUUGGAAACGACUGCUAAUACUCUAUAGUGUAGGAUGAGGCUAUAUUGUAUCAGCUAGUUGGUGAGGUAAUGGCGCACCAAGGCUAUGACGCAUAACUGGUCUGAUAGGAUGAUCAGUCACACUGUAACUGAGACACGGCCGAGACUCCUUCGGGAGGCAGCAGUAGGGAAUCUUCGGCAAUGGACGAAUGUCUGACAGAGCAACGCCGCGUGGAGGAUGACACUUGUCGGAGCGUAAACUCCUUUUGUUAGGGAAGCGGUACCUAACGAAUAAGCACCGGCUAACUCCGUGCCAGCAGCCGCGGUAAUUC